rnacentral:rRNA from 1 species
AUUGAACGCUGGCGGCAUGCUUUACACAUGCAAGUCGGACGAGUGGCGAACGGGUGAGUAACGCAUCGGAACGUGCCAAGUAAUGGGGGCUAACUGUCCGAAAGGACAGCUAAUACCGCAUAUUAUUCGAGCGGCCGAUGUCUGAUUAGCUGGAUGGCGGGGUAAAGGCUCACCAAGGCGACGAUCAGUAGCGGGUCUGAGAGGAUGAUCCGCCACACUGGGACGGCGGCACGGCCCAUACUCCUACGGGAGGCAGCAGUGGGGAAUUUUGGACAAGGGGCGCAAGCCGGAUCCAGCCAUGCGGCGUGUCUGAAGAAGGCCUUCGGGUUGUAAAGGACUUUUGUCAGGGAAGCGGUACCUGAAGAAUAAGCACCGGCUAACUACGUGCCAGCAGCCGCGGUAAUAC